UUUAAUAUGGCAGAAUAGUG
rnacentral:tRNA from 1 species